UACGGAGGGUGCAAGCGUUAUCCGGAAUCACUGGGUUUAAAGGGUGCGUAGGCGGAUGAAUAAGUCAGAGGUGAAAGCUUUCCGCUUAACGGGAAAAUUGCCUUUGAUACUGUUUAUCUUGAAUUAUGUUGAGGUUAGCGGAAUGUGACAUGUAGCGGUGAAAUGCAUAGAUAUGUCAUAGAACACCAAUUGCGAAGGCA
rnacentral:rRNA from 1 species